rnacentral:rRNA from 1 species
UACAGAGGUGCCGAGCGUUAGGCGGAAUCACUGGGCUUAAAGCGUGUGUAGGCGGACGUCUAAGUACCUUGUGAAAUCCCACGGCUCACCCGUGGAACUGCUGGGUAUACUGGGCGUCUUGAGCCACCUAGGGGCCAGCGGAACAAAUGGUGGAGCGGUGAAAUGCGUAGAUAUCAUUUGGAACGCCAACGGUGAAAACAGCUGGCUGGGGGUGUGCUGACGCUGAGACACGAAAGCCAGGGGAGCAAACGGG